CGGAGCCCGGCACUUACCUGGCGCUGCCUCCCGGCCGCUCCGGCGGUCCCGCGCCGCGCGCCCGAUCACCACGGGGUGUUUUGGGGUUGUUUGUUUUUUUUUUUAGAAAGCCCAGAAGCGAAGCGUCCCUUCCUCCAGGUAUGUAUAUAAGUUACUGUACUGUGUGGGAGGGUCACGAUCUCGCUAGGUGCAGAAGAUUCCCCGGGAUUAACCCCUCCUCUCCCUUCCCCUCCUGCAACUUGUUGAGGAUGGCACCGCGCGCGCACGCGGAGCGGCACACGGCCGCACGCACACACACGCGGAGCGCGGCGCGGGAGCGGUCCGGUGCCCCCGACGGCGCGGUGAUUGGCCGCGCUGCUCGUGGAGAAGGGGACGUCUCAAGUCGAAGUCACGAUUUCUCCUCAGUUUGGAACCAUCUGUGACUGGAGCCAUGACGCAGCCAGAGCACAUUACUCACUUUUACAGUCACGACUUGGAAAUCCGUGCAGUUUCCAACCAAAAUUACACCGCCACCAUUGAAUUAUUUAAUAGGAUCCAGUUAAGGAGCCACCGCUUCCGAGUUCCGACGAUUGGCUGCACGUGCUGCAAGGGCUUUUUUUCCUUUAAACCCCGACCAAACAAACCGGGGACGGGUCCGUUUGUAAAUACGACCACGCGCGCUCGGGAAAGGGACGCUUCGGUUCCUACAUUCGGGGCGUCCGUGGGCGGAGUGCCGCGGUGCGGCUCCGCGGGGCUCGGCGCGAGGAGCGGCGCUUUGUGUGCCCGCGGCCGCGGCCGCAGCGCGGCAUUGUCUGCGGGAUCCGCCGGCGGUGCCGGGCUUUGUGCGGGUGAUUCCCCUUUCUGCAAGAAUUCCCUGUCUCCGGGCUCCGUGCAUGCAGCAAAUGCGUUAUGGAGACGAGCGGAGCCCCCUCGCCUUAAAGAAAAGUAGAAAGGGAGCAAAACGGAGGGAUCCGAGCAUGCAGAAAGGAAAGACGAGACUCACGGCCGCUGGCUGCAGCAUGCACAGGAAAGAUCGCUACUUACCGAGCGGGAACUCCUCGGGAGUUGGAAAAAAAUACUGCGGUGAUGUCCAGGUUUUCUUCCACCCGCGCUCGCUUUUUAUACAAGUGCAACCCUCUGUCUAUUUCUGGAACGCGAUCAAAACCCUGAUGCUAUUUUUAGCAGGUACUGGGGAAAAAAUCCACACACAAAGGCAUUUCGCUGGAACGCUACGUCCAAAACAUUAAAUGUGCAUUAAGUCUG
rnacentral:lncRNA from 1 species